rnacentral:lncRNA from 1 species
UUGCAUUGGGAUUAUUAUGAGAUUGGCAAUAUUUAAAAAAAUAUUUGUUGGUGAUGAAAAAAAGAAAAAUAUUUUCAUCAAAUAUUGAUAAUUUUAAAUUACAUUUGAUAUGAAAAAAAUUAAUUAUAUAAUGAUAUUUGAUUUACUUUUUUUUCUUGGCAACGUAAGCAUGAGAUGCACUAUUAACUCUACCAUAUCUCUUAUUCUCUUUUCGUAUCAAACAUAAUAAUUUGACAAAAAUUUAUCUUUUUCAUGUUGGAUUACUCAAACUAAAUGGACCCAAAAGUGAGGUCGAGACCAAAUUAGAGGCCUAUUGGUAACUUUAUCCAAUACAAGGAUUUCUCAUUAAUUUUCCUUCAAAUGGAUUUGAACUGAGCAAAUAUUGACGGAACAAAUUAAUCACGACCCCUUGUUCUUAAUAAUAUUUUUAUAUAAAAUUUUUGGUGAAUCAUUUUACAGUUCAAUCUUUUUCCUAUUCUUCCAUUAUUUCUUUUUUUUUUCCACUGGCAAAAUUAUACCUUUUCAGGACUUACAUUUAUUAGGUUCCUGCCCCCCAUUUUCCUUUGCAUUUGAUUAAAUUUCAAUGGUUGCAAAGAAUCCUAAAGAAUUGUUAUCUUUUUUUUUCUUUUUUUUUUGUUAAAACAGGUUGUUCACACCAUUUUAAUAUAAAUAUAUCUAAAAAAAUUAAAAAAUAAAAUAUCUUUAAGCAUCCUCGAGGUCAACAUAAGACCGGUCCUUAGUGCUUCAUCCGAAUGCUCAACGGCAAAGAAGGCUAAGUAGCAGUCUCAUUCAUAUCACGAUAUACAUAUCUAGCAAUGAACAUGGUACCCUCUCCUGCCAGCUUUCAGAUGUACUGUAGGGAAAGUUUAUGCUUUUUUUUUUUUUUGGGAAGAGAAAGUUUAUGCUUAUUAAUGAACAAAGUUGAGAACAAGCCGAGAUAAUAUUGCUUACCUGACCGACUUGUGAAUCAAACUUUAGCCUUGUAAUGAUUGUAGUUGCCAAAUAAACAUAAAUUGAGACCUCAGCUUGCGUUGCUUCAAUCUAUAGAACCUGAACUAAAAAUGCUAUUAUUCAUGUUGACAUUAUAAUAUGUCCCCCCCACCCCACCCGCCUUUUGGAUACAUGUAAGGGAGUCAAUAGACUAAAAUGAAAUAGGAAAAACUACCCUCAGAAGAGUUACCAAAACUAUAGCCCCAUGUUUCUUCCUCGCAUAGCUCACUUCACAAGCGUCCGCUUGAAGGAGUCUCUACAAAUCAGCUGGGAUAGGAUGAUGAGAAUAAAGUUCAAAUCCUUAUGGAGAGAACGACCUCCUAACCAAUCUGUAGGCUGAUUCCCCUCUCGCAAAGUAUGAAUAGCAACAAAUGUUUGAGACAUUCUUUUUCCAACUAAGC